UACGUAGGGGGCGAGCGUUGUCCGAAGUUACUGGGCGUAAAGCGUGCGCAGGCGGUGAUGUAAGCCAGGUGUGAAAUCCCCGGGCUUAACCUGGGAACUGCAUUUGUGACUGCAUCGCUGGAGUGCGGCAGAGGGGGAUGGAAUUCCGCGUGUAGCAGUGAAAUGCGUAGAUAUGCGGAGGAACACCGAUGGCGAAGGCAAUCCCCUGGGCCUGCACUGACGCUCAUGCACGAAAGCGUGGGGAGCAAACAGG
rnacentral:rRNA from 1 species